CAUGCUUAGGAAAUGCAUAAAGAGGCUACCAACUUUCAACUCUAAGAAAUCGGUAGAAAUCAAGAUCAAAAUACCACAGUUUCUUCGUAAUUCACAUAAAAACACCCUGAUUUUUGUUUGCCCCUAAGCCAAUACAAUCCAAGUAUACCCCAGUCGAGACCCCACUCUUCUUCUCUUAUCCCUUCCCUUCCCCAAAAAUAAUAUCUUCAAGAAAAGUUACAAACCUCAGCCUUCUUCUCGCUUCUCCAGUUUCUUUCAAGCAGCUUCCUUAAUGGAGCUCACUUGUUUGCAUAACAAAUUCAAUUUGUCUGCUUUGCCUCACCUUUCACUUCCAUCCUCCAAGAACCCUAACCCCAGAUUCUUUUCUAGAAAAAGGAACAAUCUUUGUCUGGCCUCAACUUCUGAUACCCUUGUGACUGGUUCCGGAAAAGAAGUUAGCAGCAAGAAAGAUGCUGAAUUUGGGGACUUGAAAUCUUGGAUGCACAAAAAUGGCUUGCCACCCUGUAAAGUUGUUCUCAAAGAGAGGCCUUCUUAUGAUGAGAAGCAUAGACCUAUACAUUACGUCGCUGCCUGUGAGGAUCUUCGGGCGGGUGACGAGGCUUUUUCGGUGCCGAAUUCAUUGGUUGUAACGCUUGAGAGAGUGCUGGGAAACGAGACUGUUGCGGAACUUUUGACAACAAACAAGUUGUCAGAAUUGGCAUGCUUAGCUUUGUACUUAAUGUAUGAGAAGAAGCAAGGAAAGAAAUCAUUCUGGUAUCCAUAUAUUAGAGAGCUUGAUCGCCAACGUGGAAGGGGCCAGCUGGCUGUGGAAUCUCCACUUCUAUGGUCAGAUGAUGAAUUGGCUUACCUAACGGGUAGCCCCACUAAGGCUGAAAUUGUUGAAAGGGCUGAAGGAAUAAAGAGAGAGUAUAAUGAGCUUGAUACUGUUUGGUUUAUGGCUGGGUCUCUCUUUCAGCAAUAUCCCUAUGAUAUACCUACUGAGGCCUUUCCAUUUGAGAUUUUCAAACAAGCCUUUGUUGCUGUUCAGUCUUGUGUGGUGCAUUUACAGAAAGUACCUUUGGCUCGGAGAUUUGCAUUAGUUCCUCUUGGACCCCCAUUGCUAGCUUACAGGAGCAAUUGCAAGGCAAUGUUAAGUGCUGUUGCUGGUGCUGUUGAACUAGUGGUUGAUCGCCCAUAUAAGGCUGGGGAACCUAUUGUUGUCUGGUGUGGACCACAGCCUAAUUCGAAACUGCUUAUAAACUAUGGUUUUGUUGAUGAUGAUAAUCCUUAUGAUCGCCUGGUUGUUGAGGCAGCGUUGAAUACUGAGGAUCCUCAAUAUCAAGACAAGAGACUGGUUGUUCAAAGAAAUGGAAAACUAUCUGUACAAGCUUUUCCUGUUUAUGCAGGGAAGGAAAAAGAAGCUGUCUCGGAUAUGCUUCCAUAUUUGCGAUUAGGCUAUGUUUCAGAUCCUUCUGAGAUGCAAUCUGUCCUUUCUUCUCAAGGUCCAGUCUGCCCGGUGAGCUCAUGUAUGGAACGAGCGGUGCUAGACCAGCUUGCUGAUUAUUUCAAGAGACGCUUGGCUGGCUACCCUACUACACUGAAUGAAGAUGAGUCAUUGUUGUUAGAUCCAAACUUGAAUCCCAAGAAACGAGUUGCCACUCAGCUUGUUAGGUUGGAAAAGAAAAUUCUCCAUGCAUGUUUGCAGGCAACAGUGGAUCUGAUUGACCAGUUACCUGAUCACACUGUGUCUCCAUGCCCUGCACCUUAUGCCCCCCUGUUGAAAUAAAAGUCUGCAGUAUUACCAGUCUUGGUUUUAACUAGGCAAAAUAGUGGAAGUUCUUUGCGCUACUUGGAUAAUUUCCCCUGUCAAUAGGAGAGUAUAUAUCAGGUAGAUUUAAAAAUCUGCAACCUCUUAGGAACUAUAUGGAAUAGGGGAAGUUUGAUGGUGGAUCUAAUAGGCUUUAAGAGAACGAAUCAUGCUUGUUCUUCUAUUCCGAGAUAUUGGAUGCCGUGAUGUGCCUUUAAUGAGUGGUUCUUCAAGAUGCAUAAACUCUUCGUUUGCGUCUUCCUUCUUGCAUAUAAUUUUCUUUCUCUUAUGCCCUUCAAGUGGCUAGCUACAAUCUUGUGUUUGAGUAGUAGUCUUUAUGUAAUGUACAUAUGAAUAAACGAUGCUAACAUUUUUUCUGUUAAUAAACUGCUAUAAAUCAAAAUUGAAUAGGAAAA